UACGGGGGGGGCAAGCGUUGUUCGGAAUUACUGGGCGUAAAGGGCUCGUAGGCGGCCAACUAAGUCAGACGUGAAAUCCCAAGGCUUAACCUUGGAACUGCGUCGGAUACUGGAUGGCUUGAAUUCGGGAGAGGGAUGCAGAAUUCCAGGUGUAGCGGUGAAAUGCGUAGAUAUCUGGAGGAAUACCGGUGGCGAAGGCGGCAUCCUGGACCGGCAUUGACGCUGAGGAGCGAAAGCUAGGGGAGCAAACGGG
rnacentral:rRNA from 1 species